rnacentral:lncRNA from 1 species
GUCAAUAAAAGAAGUUGUCUAAAUAAACUCCACACUGGUCUGCUGCAGGUGCUACAGGGAUGGCAAGCAGAAGAACAGACAAAAGUUCUCUGUCAUCAGCAGCAGACUGGAUCGAAGAACUGUAGGACAAAGAAUGGCUUUUGCUACUCAAGUCUACCAUAUGCUUAUGGAAAAGAGAGUGCUGGGACAGAAGACAACUGGAAAGUGCCUAGCAGGUAUUCGUGUGAGGCCACGGUCAUCGGGUGGAAAUCUGCAUGGGGCGGAGGUGGCUGCACCGUGUGGAAAUCCCAGCUCAGAUGGGAAGGAUGCAGAGAGCUGGGUAGGACGAACACCGAAAGGAGAGGAGAUCUGCAGGCUAUACCUAAAUAUCCUGAUUAUCCAUUUGAAAAAAACAACAACAACAAACAAAGAGCCACCUCAGCCAAACAGUAGCAUAGCAUCAGAAUUCCUGUAUGAUGGUUUUUCCCAGUGUAAAUCCACUGGUUUUCUGCCUUAA